UCGAGGAUCUUUAGCAAUGGGCGAAAGCCUGACUAUGCGACGCCGCGUGAGGGAUGAAGGUUUUCGGAUCGUAAACCUCUUUCGAUGGGAAAGAAACUCCUGAUUAACUAUCAGGACUGACGGUACCCAGAGAAGAAGCCACGGCCAACUCCGUGCCAGCAGCCGCGGUAAUACGGGGGUGGCGAGCGUUACUCGGAUUUAUUGGGUGUAAAGGGCAGGUAGGCGUCUUGUUAAGUUGGAAGUGAAAUCCUUUGGCUCAACCAAAGAACUGCUUCCAAAACUGGCAAGAUUGAGGAUAGAAGAGGAGAGCGGAAUUCCCGGUGUAAGGGUGAAAUCUGUAGAUAUCGGGAGGAACACCAGUGGCGAAAGCGGCUCUCUGGUCUAUCUCUGACGCUAAGCUGCGAAAGCUAGGGGAGCAAACAGG
rnacentral:rRNA from 1 species